rnacentral:tRNA from 1 species
UGGGACGUGGCCAAGUGGUAAGGCAGUGGUUUUUGGCACCACCAUUCGGAGGUUCGAAUCCUUCCGUCCCAG